rnacentral:rRNA from 1 species
AAGAAAGUUACAAAGGGCGUAUGGAGGAUGCCUAGGCUCUCAGAGGCGAAGAAGGACGUGACAAGCUGCGAUAAGCUAUGGGUAGGCGCAAAUAGCCAUUGAUCCGUAGAUUU